UGUCUAGGGGUUCAAACCUAAAGAACCUAAAUAUCUAARCGAAGAGAUUCAAUACUGCUUCUCCAAAAGAGCGAGCAGUGUGCACUUCUCUUUUAGUAAGACGUUGUGAUCCAUUAGGAAUUGAUUGAUAUAUUAAGUCAAUCAUUGGGCUACCAAUUAKUCUGACAUUGAAGUUCAUAAUGACAAAUAAUACAAUCAAUAUAUGGUUGUGUAUAUUGUCUUGUGAGCAUGUCAUCAACUGGUGUAGCUGCCUUAUGGAUUUUAUAGGCCAUAACAUUGAUAUGAAUAUAUUAUUAUCAUCUGAAUGGAUGAAUAAUUGUUAUGUGCCCGAUCAACAACGGAUUCAUUUGGGAUACCUUUGGGACCCGUCUUGAAACACGGACCAAGGAGUCUAUCUAGUAUGCAAGUAAAUGGGGUAAAAAUAUUUAAACCUAUUUGCGUAAAUAACUUGACUGUUUAUAUAUGAGAUUACRAGUUACACAUAUAUUAUUAUGUGUGUGCUCCUCCAUCUCGGGGUAUUUUCACAAUAUAGAAAUAUAGAAAAUAUACCAUGAGCAUACUGGAUAUGACCCGAAAGAUGGUGAACUAUGCCUGAUCAGGUUGAAGUCAGGGGAAACCCUGAUGRAGGACCGAAGCAAUUCUGACGUGCAAAUCGANUGUCAGAAUUG
rnacentral:rRNA from 1 species